GAUGUUUGAAACUUGGUAGUAGAAUGUUUGAACUGCAUAAUUUGGAUGUUUGAAACAGGUAUGGAAAACUAGAUUUACAAGUGUUACUAUGUCCAAAAACGAGUAAGAUUGAUAACUAGAAUUACUGGGUUUCUUACGCCUCAAAAGCACAAAAAAUAGAAAAAAGAUAUAACAAAAACUAGUAAACACAUGUAAAACACUAAAAAUGAAAAAAUAUUAUUUAAAAAAGAAUUAAAAAAUGCAUUUCACAUGUAAAACGUGCAGCCGUCA
rnacentral:lncRNA from 1 species